GCAUAUCAAUAAGCGGAGGAAAAGAAACUAACAAGGAUUCCCCUAGUAACGGCGAGUGAAGAGGGAAGAGCCCAAGAUUGAAAGCUGGCGUCUUCGGCGUCCGCAUUGUAAUCUCAAGAAGUGUUUUCCGCUUCGGACCAAGCCUAAGUCCCUUGGAAAAGGGCAUCAUAGAGGGUGAUAAUCCCGUACAUGGCUUGGAGCGCCCGAAGCUUUGUGAUACGCUUUCUAAGAGUCGAGUUGUUUGGGAAUGCAGCUCAAAAUGGGUGGUAAAUGCCAUCUAAGGCUAAAUAUUGGGGAGAGACCGAUAGCGAACAAGUACAGUGAUGGAAAGAUGAAAAGAACUUUGAAAAGAGAGUUAAACAGUACGUGAAAUUGCCAAAAGGGAAGGGUAGGAGGUCAGAGAUGCGGCCUGGGAUUCAGCCUUGCUUUUGCUUGGUGUUUUUCCCAGAUUGCAGGCCAACGUCGGUUUUGGGCACUGGAGAAGGGUAGGAGGAACGUGGCACCUCUCGGGGUGUGUUAUAGCCUCCUACUGGAUACAGCGACCGAGACCGAGGACAGCAGCGUACUCGCAAGAGCGGGCCUUCGGGCACCUUAC
rnacentral:rRNA from 1 species